rnacentral:rRNA from 1 species
AUGGGAACGCGAAGAACCUUACCUACUCUUGACAUCCAGAGAACUUUCCAGAGAUGGAUUGGUGCCUUCGGGAACUCUGAGACAGGUGCUGCAUGGCUGUCGUCAGCUCGUGUUGUGAAAUGUUGGGUUAAGUCCCGCAACGAGCGCAACCCGUUAUCCUUUGUUGCCAGCGGUUAGGCCGGGAACUCAAAGGAGACUGCCAGUGAUAAACUGGAGAAGGUGGGGAUGACGUCAAGUCAUCAUGGCCCUUACGAGUAGGGCUACACACGUGCUACAAUGGCGCAUACAAAGAGAAGCGACCUCGCGAGAGCAAGCGGACCUCAUAAAGUGCGUCGUAGUCCGGAUUGGAGUCUGCAACUCGACUCCAUGAAGUCGGAAUCGCUAGUAAUCGUAGAUCAGAAUGCUACGGUGAAUACGUUCCCGGGUCUUGUACACACCG